CCGACCACGUGGGAGCGCCUCUGCUCCGGCUCCGCGGCCGCCCCUCACUGAGCUGGGCCCAGGGAGGGAAGGAGGCGCGCUGCAAAGCCCGGCCGGGCCGUGGGGGCUGCCAGCAUGGCAGAGGGCCUGCGCUGCAGCAGCAUUAGUCACCGCCUGCCUACGCUUCCUUCAUCCCAAGCAUGGCACAGCCCUGGGCUGAGGGGGCACGAAGGCCGGAUCUUUGUGCGCAGUUUGGUUGCUGACCCGUGAGGGCGAACCGGCUUGGCAUGGUCCAGCUGAUGGGCACAACUGUGUUUAAAAAGUGUCUUUCAGGAGCAGCUGCAGGGGACGUCGGAGGGGAAACCAGCAAGGCAGGAGGGUCUGGGUCCACUGGAGAGAGCGGAUCUGCAGGCCCAGAAACGUCGAGCCCGAGGAAGGCAUUACAAUGCAACGGUUGUCUGUGCGUGCCGGGGACAGCGCACACCCCUCCCGCACAACGCUGCAUUUUACUCGGUAGUAAGCAUCCACGCGGCUAGGACUAGCUCUCCGAUGCUAGCCGCCUCCAAUCAACGAAUGGGGAAUAAUCCCAUUUAGUACAACACAUUGCCAUCGGGGGAGCCAAGGGCUUGAUGGAACCUUAAGACUAAUCAACUUCAGGAACCAGUGACAUCAGUAAAUCCCAAGGAUUGAAAUGCAAGGAAGAGAAACUCUGGCAUCCUCUCGUGGAGCAGUGACCCACUACUCUCCCAAACGGUGCAGCAGCUAGCCGUGCACAAGGGACUGACAGCAUCAAUUUUGAAACAGCCUGGGAGAGGAGAGGAUUUCUCUCUGGAGAUCCCUUCAUCACUGGGAGGAGUACACAGGAGCCAAACAUUUGAGGACACUUUGCCAGCUCUCAUCAACCAUCCUGAACCAGCCACCCCAAUUGAUUCUGCUACACACUUGUCUAUCUGUAAUGACAGCCACUACAGAAGGUUAAUAGACAAUAAACUGUAGCCUAACAAGGUCGUUUCCUGAAAUGAUUCGCUGAUCGUUACGUAUGACCUACUAGAUAGGGGAAAUU